rnacentral:tRNA from 1 species
GCGGACGUGGCGGAAUUGGCAUACGCGUACGGCUUAGAACCGUAUCCCUUUGGGUUGAGAGUUCGACUCUCUCCGUCCGCA